CCAAGAAUUUAAAGAUUUCACCUGUUGCAGAUUCAAGGCACAAGAGAUCAAAUUUCCAGCAAUAACAAUGAAAACAAAAGUCUGGUUAAGAUUCCAAUUUUUCCAGGUUCAAUAAACAGCACCAAAAUGCACAUUUGAAGGUUUAAUAACUGCGUUAGAAAGGUCUGAACAACUGCAAAAGGUUGAUGCACGUUCUAACCAUGGCUUUACAUAACAUAAAUUUAGCCACUCUGACUCUUCAAAGUCUAUGCUUGCAUCAAAUUGACCCAGUCAACACUUGAAAAUGGUUUAUGUGAAAAUCCAAAUUUUAAUGAUUACAUAGUUCUAUAGCAAAAUUAACGGUUAUAUUCAUGUUUUACAUGGAAAUAGAGCUAAUCAAAUUGAUAAUUACAUUAAAAAGAAAAAAAAGUCAACGGAUAGAUGGAGUGUACAGGUCCACAUUCAAACGACUAGAUCACCCAAAAUAUUCAAGAACACGAUGAGUCAGACGCAUUAACAACUCCUAAUUAAGUUAUACACAGCAGCUCAAGUAGUGAUCAAACAUGAACCUCCAUAAUUGAUCAAUCCCAAUUCAACACAGAAUCUAUGUCAUUAUCAAAACAAAUUCUAUCCACAAUGAUAUGUCAACAAAAUCAUGCAAAAGGAAAAAAAAGCUAAUAAUUUUAUUGUUCAUGAAGAGCAAAGAGGAUUUCUUUGAGAAUAUAAGCAUCCCCAAAUAGAAAGAUACAUAUAAACAAAUAUAUUUAGAGAGAAAGAGGAGAAAAAAGAGUACCUUUGCAGGAAAAGGAGAACGU
rnacentral:misc_RNA from 1 species